UACGAGAGGCCCAAACGUUAUUCGGAAUUACUGGCUUAAAGGAGUUCGAGUAGGCGGCAGUGAAAAGCAGGGUGUGAAGCCUCGGACGUCAACCGAGGAAUUGCGCUCUGAACUGUCGUGCUUGAGGAACCUAGAGGUGAGCAGAACGAGAUGGUCGGAGCGGUGAAAUGCGUUGAUAUCAUCAUGGAAUACCGGAGGCGAAGGCGGCUCACUGGGGUUCUGAC
rnacentral:rRNA from 1 species